UUGACCUCGGAUCAGGCAGGGAUACCCGCUGAACUUAAGCAUAUCAAUAAGCGGAGGA
rnacentral:rRNA from 3 species